GAUGAAGAACGUAGCGAAAUGCGAUAAGUAAUGUGAAUUGCAGAAUUCAGUGAAUCAUCGAAUCUUUGAACGCACCUUGCGCUCCUUGGUAUUCCGGGGAGCAUGCCUGUUUGAGUGUCAUUAAUAUAUCAACCUCUUCAGCUUAUGCUUGUUGAGUGUUGGAUGGUGGGGGUUUGCUGGUGUCUUAUGAAGUCAGCUCCUCUGAAAUGCAUUAGCGGAACAAUUUGUUGACCGUUCAUUGGUGUGAUAAAAAUAUCUACGCUAUUGACGUCAGUCAGUUCAGCUUCUAACAGUCCAUUGACUUGGACAAAUUUUUCAUUAAUGUGACCUCAAAUCAGGUAGGACUACCCGCUGAACUUAAGCAUAUCAAUAAGCGGAGGA
rnacentral:misc_RNA from 1 species